ACGAGGGAGGGAUCUGGGUGUUCGGUGGGUCCCCUGUAUCCUCCGAGGCAACGCUGGCACUGUCCUUGCACCUCGGGAGACAACUCGCGCCUUACACCCCGUAGUACCCUGUGCGAAGCUCUCCGUCGCAGUAAAUCGCUGCUGUUCCCUGUCCAGGCGUGAGCUGGGAUGUAGAAAUUCGAAAAUGUAUCUUCGGGCACACUUCUUGUUUUUCCUGUUUCUUUUCACUCAUUUGAGCCUUCAGACCUGGUUUUCCCUUCCUCUUAGGGGAGAAAAGUCUUAAGAUCCAUGCAGAUCAAACAACUUAGGAAAUUAUUUUCAGCUUGCACAUUUGUGUAAGGUUUGAUUCGUGUAUUUCCAUUCCUACCUGGUUUCAGAGUAUGGUAUCUGGGUGGGGUUUUUUUGGCAAUUGUUUUCUGUAUGCUCUAGGCGUUUGUUUUGCACUAGAAGUGCUCAGAAAAUACUCAGAAAAGUUGGUUUUAGUGGGUAGGUAAAUGGUAGCUGUGAUAGCAAAUGCACUGCACUUCCUAUGAAAUACCAAUUUCUGGAAUAAGCAGUGAUGGUGUCUCAAUACUGUGAGCCAUUUAAAGAGAUGUAUUGAUAUGUACAAAUUAUUGAAGAACUUUUAUCACUGUGCAUUGUAUUUCUGUUUCUCUAAUUUACAAGAUAAGCAUCUAGAAGUUAAUUUUUUUUAAGAAACUGUUGCAAUAGUUUAUACAAAUCAGAAGAAAAAAUAAAUUAUUGUGGGAUUUACUCAGCCUAGGGAAGAAACUCAAAACUGCCACAGGGUUGAGACUUAAUUAUAAUGGGUCCAAAGUGGUGGUUGAAAUUUUAGCUUCUGGGUUAUGCAGGUAAAAUAAAAUGGGGCUGUAAACUGUCUAUGAUGACAUCUGUGGUAACAAAGCUGUUAAAGUAAUAGGGCUGACACUACUUGGAUGUUUCCCUCUCUCAAGAAGAUACUGUUACAGACUAGAAAAUCAUUUUCCUACCUACAGUUCACUUUAGAAACAGUUUUGGGGUCAGUCAGCAUUCUUUACCAGUUUCCUGACUGUCAUUUUGGGGACCUGGAAGCACUGGAAUUUAGUCAGCUGCAGGCAGUUUGUGGCCUGAAAGAUGCCCCGAUGUGGGAGAAGGACGAGGAUUGAGGGGGCUGAGGUCCCCUCUCUUGGGUCUCGCUCCCACCUGCUGUGCUGCCUGUGUGAGACUGGCUGUCCCUUGGGCACAGGGACCACCCCCUAUCUCUCCUCAGGAGCCAUUGGCUCCAGCACCUUCCUCAUCCCAUGCCUGGGGUCCCCUCAGCGACACCGUGGCAACAACAUUCUGAGGGGGUCAGGGGUCCUCAGUGACACCCCUUCGACACAGCAUCCCGUGCUGGACAGUGGAUGAGAGGGGCGAAGCAUCCGGACAUGCCACUGGAGAAGGGAAAGAAGGAAAGGGAGGCCCCAUGCUGUUGUCAGGCCUGCUGCUUUAGUGGAGAAGAUUUCAAUCACAGCUUUAACUGUUUUCAGAAGGAUGACUGUGGAUCCCAAAAAGGUUUGCUGACAGGUGAUUUCUCUGACACCUUGGAAGACAAGAAAGGACAUUCCCAGCAUGUUCUGCACACCUACACCUGGGCGCACAAGCUCAGUCCAGACAAAGUUCAUUUAUUCUGAUGGAUGGAGUAUCCACAAAGACUGGGUUUGUAACGAGGCCAGAAAUGUGUGGUGUGACAAUCAGCUGUCCUCCUCCUGGAAGUUUCUCAGUGAGCUGUGCAUGCAUGAACACACAUUUCUUUUUUUCCUCCCACACACAAAAGCUCUGUGUCAAGUUGUUUGAGUGAGUUGUGACACGUAUUAAUGUUGUUGGCUCCUAAUGUUGUUGGGUUCUUUCCACUGGGGGCUGACUACUGCAAUCCCAUUGGAAAAGUUUUCCACCAAACUCAGAAAUAACUUUCAUUAAAACUCUAUCCAGACACCCUCAAGCAUGAGUGUCUUUCUACUCAUGAAU